AGUGAACGCUGGCGGUAGGCCUAACACAUGCAAGUCGAACGGCAGCACAGUAAGAGCUUGCGCUUACGGGUGGCGAGUGGCGGACGGGUGAGGAAUACAUCGGAAUCUACUUUUUCGUGGGGGAUAACGUAGGGAAACUUACGCUAAUACCGCAUAAGACCUACGGGUGAAAGCAGGGGAUCUUCGGACCUUGCGCGAUUGAAUGAGCCGAUGUCGGAUUAGCUAGUUGGCGGGGUAAAGGCCCACCAAGGCGACGAUCCGUAGCUGGUCUGAGAGGAUGGUCAGCCACACUGGAGCUGAGGCACGGUCCAGACUCCUACGGGAGGCAGCAGUGGGGAAUAUUGGACAAUGGGCGCAAGCCUGAUCCAGCCAUACCGCGUGGGUGAAGGAGGCCUUCGGGUUGUAAAGCCCUUUUGUUGGGAAAGAAAAGCAGCAGGUUAAUACCCCGCUGUUCUGACGGUACCCAAAGAAUAAGCACCGGCUAACUUCGUG
rnacentral:rRNA from 1 species